UUUAGAAGCAAACCUUGCGCACGUCAAAGGUCUAUAUCGUCGUUCAGUUUGGACUACACACUGCAAUGGAGAUUUUGAUGAAGCAAGGGCUGAUUUAAAAAUGAUGAUGAAAAUCGACAAGUCAACUACAUCAGACGCAACAACAACCCUUAUAAAACUUAAGCAGAAAUAGCAGGAAGUUGAGAAGAAAGCUCGUGAACAAUUUAAAGGGCUAUUUGACAAGAAGUUUGGAGAAAUUGCUGAAGUUAAAGCUAAUGAAGAUGGAGAUUAGAUCACCAGGGAAAGCCAAA